GCAGGAAGUAGAGAUGCUGCUGGCCUUCUACUCUAGAUAGAUAGGCCACUUUGGCUGUGCUGACCCCUGCGAAUUCCCCAAAUGUGGGGAAUUUUGACUGCAUAAUAUCUGGUAGUGGGGGACUGCGUUUGCACUCUCCCCU
ensembl:snRNA U1 U1 spliceosomal RNA